rnacentral:rRNA from 1 species
UACAGGGGGGGGUAAGCGUUGUUCGGACUUACUGGGCGUAAAGGGCUCGUAGUCGGCCAACUAAGUCGGACGUGAAAUCCCUCAGCUUAACUGGGGAACUGCGUCCGAUACUGGAUGGCUUGGAUUUGGGAGAGGGAUGCGGAAUUCCAGGUGUAGCGGUGAAAUGCGUAGAUAUCUGGAGGAACACCGGUGGCGAAGGCGGCAUCCUGGACCGACAUUGACGCUGAUGAGCGAAAGCUAGGGGAGCAAACGGG